UGGGGGGUGGCAAAAGGCAUGCAAGUCGAGCGAUUCCCGCAAGGGAAUAGCGGCAAACGGGUGAGUAACACGUACGUAACCUACCCUGUGGCGUGGGAUAACCUGACGAAAGACAGGCUAAUACCACAUGUGCUUUCGGGUGCGCAUGCACCUGAAAGGAAAGAUGGCCUCGACCGAAAGGUUGCUAUCACCAAAGGAGGGACCUGCGUCCCAUCAUCUAUUUGGUAGGGUAACGGCCUACCAAGGCUUUUGACGGGUAGCUAGCCUUAAAGGGCGGUUAGCCACACUGGGACUGAAACACUGCCCGGACUCCUACGGGAGGCUGCAGUCAAGAAUAUUUGGCAAUGGACGAAAGUCUGACCAUGCGACGCCGCGUGUAGGAUGAAGGCCUUCGGGUCGUAAACUACUGUUGCGAGGGACGAAGGUUCUGGUUGCAAACAGCGAUCAGAAUUUGACGGUACCUCGAUAGAAAGCCACGGCUAACUCCGUGCCACCAGCCGCGGUAAUACGGAGGUGGCAAGCGUUACUCGGAUUUACUGGGUGUAAAGGGCACGUAGGCGGUCCGAUAAGCCCCGUUUGAAUGCCUGGGCUCAACCUGGGCACGUGGCGGGGGACUGACGGACUUGAGGACGCGAGAGGUAGGCGGAAUUCCCGGUGUAAGGGUGAUAUCUGUAGAGAUCGGGAGGAACACCAGUGGCGAAAGCGGCCUACUGGCGCGUUUCUGACGCUGAGGUGCGAAAGCUAGGAGAGCAAACAGGAUUAGACACCCUGGUAGUCCUAGCCGUAAACGAUGGACACUAGGUGUCGGCUCCAUUAGGGGUCGGUGCCGCAGCUAACGCGUUAAGUGUCCCACCUGAGGAGUACGGCCGCAAGGUUGAAACUCAAAGGAAUUGACGGGGGCCAGCACAAGCGGUGGAACAUGUGGUUCAAUUCGAUGCUACGCGAAGAACCUUACCCAGGCUUGACAUGCAAGGAGUAGGCUCCCGAAAAGGAGGGGUGCUCUUCGGAGAAUCCCGAGACAGGUGCUGCAUGGCUGUCGUCAGCUCGUGCCGUGAGGUGUUGGCUUAAGUGCCACAACGAGCGCAACCAUUACUGAUAGUUGCCACCAGGGGCCGCAAGGCCUGCUGAGCACUCUUUCGGGACUGCCAGCGACGAGCUGGAAGGAACG
rnacentral:rRNA from 1 species